rnacentral:rRNA from 1 species
UACGGAGGGUGCAAGCGUUAUCCGGAUUUACUGGGUUUAAAGGGUGUGUAGGCGGGCUUUUAAGUCAGUGGUGAAAUCUCCGGGCUCAACCUGGAAACUGCCAUUGAUACUAUUAGUCUUGAAUUUUGUUGAGGUAGGCGGAAUAAGUCAUGUAGCGGUGAAAUGCAUAGAUAUGACUUAGAACACCAAUUGCGAAGGCAGCUUGCUAAACAAUAUUGACGCUGAGGCACGAAAGCGUGGGGAGCAAACAGG